GACGAACGCUGGCGGCGUGCCUAAUACAUGCAAGUUGAGCGCUGAAGGUUGGUACUUGUACCAACUGGAUGAGCAGCGAACGGGUGAGUAACGCGUGGGGAAUCUGCCUUUGAGCGGGGGACAACAUUUGGAAACGAAUGCUAAUACCGCAUAAAAACUUUAAACACAAGUUUUAAGUUUGAAAGAUGCAAUUGCAUCACUCAAAGAUGAUCCCGCGUUGUAUUAGCUAGUUAGUGAGGUAAAGGCUCACCAAGGCGAUGAUACAUAGCCGACCUGAGAGGGUGAUCGGCCACAUUGGGACUGAGACACGGCCCAAACUCCUGCGGGAGGCAGCAGUAGGGAAUCUUCGGCAAUGGACGAAAGUCUGACCGAGCAACGCCGCGUGAGUGAAGAAGGUUUUCGGAUCGUAAAACUCUGUUGGUAGAGAAGAACGUUGGUGAGAGUGGAAAGCUCAUCAAGUGACGGUAACUACCCAGAAAGGGACGGCUAACUACGUG
rnacentral:rRNA from 1 species